GACGAACGCUGGCGGCGUGCUUAACACAUGCAAGUCGAACGGAAAGGCCCUGCUUUUGUGGGGUGCUCGAGUGGCGAACGGGUGAGUAACACGUGAGUAACCUGCCCUUGACUUUGGGAUAACUUCAGGAAACUGGGGCUAAUACCGGAUAGGAGCUCCUGCUGCAUGGGGGGGGUUGGAAAGGUUCGGCGGUUGGGGAUGGAUUCGCGGCUUAUCAGCUUGUUGGUGGGGUAGGGGCUUACCAAGGCUUUGACGGGUAGCCGGCCUGAGAGGGUGACCGGCCACAUUGGGACUGAGAUACGGCCCAGACUCCUACGGGAGGCAGCAGUGGGGAAUAUUGCACAGUGGGCGGAAGCCUGAUGCAGCAACGCCGCGUGCGGGAUGACGGCCUUCGGGUUGUAAACCGCUUUCGCCUGUGACGAAGCGUGAGUGACGGUAAUGGGUAAAGAAGCACCGGCUAACUACGUG
rnacentral:rRNA from 1 species